rnacentral:rRNA from 1 species
GAUGAACGCUGGCGGCGUGCCUAAUACAUGCAAGUCGAGCGAACAGACGAGGAGCUUGCUCCUCUGACGUUAGCGGCGGACGGGUGAGUAACACGUGGAUAACCUACCUAUAAGACUGGGAUAACUUCGGGAAACCGGAGCUAAUACCGGAUAAUAUAUUGAACCGCAUGGUUCAAUAGUGAAAGACGGUUUUGCUGUCACUUAUAGAUGGAUCCGCGCCGCAUUAGCUAGUUGGUAAGGUAACGGCUUACCAAGGCGACGAUGCGUAGCCGACCUGAGAGGGUGAUCGGCCACACUGGAACUGAGACACGGUCCAGACUCCUACGGGAGGCAGCAGUAGUGAAUCUUCCGCAAUGGGCGAAAGCCUGACGGAGCAACGCCGCGUGAGUGAUGAAGGUCUUCGGAUCGUAAAACUCUGUUAUUAGGGAAGAACAAAUGUGUAAGUAACUAUGCACGUCUUGACGGUACCUAAUCAGAAAGCCACGGCUAACUACGUG